CGCUCGGAUCGGAGAACCGACAAACUUACUCGCAGUCACAAUUAAAACAAACACAAUUUAUAAAGGAGGAGAUGCCUGCACUUUCGCUGUAUUGCCAACAUCCUGCUAAUACAGUAUCUCCUCUGGUGUUACAUGGAAGAAUGAAAGCCUUAUGGGACCAACACGAGGAUAUAGGAAGGAACAAACUGCAACAACACAUCACCUGCCUGUCACAAAAAUAAGGUUUAUCUGGAAAAAAAACUGAGUCAAUGCAUUGUUUGUGGACUGAAGGAGAUGUAGGCUAUAAAGUAGUCCUGAAGUCGCAGAGGCAGAACUUUUCCUUUAUGUCGCUGCACUGUCAUCAUACUGCCCCCCAGUUACAGAAAUGGCUCAUUGUGAUGGGACAGAUUGUUCAUGAAUAUUGAAUCGAUCCUUUUGGCUUUUAUAAAUUAGAAAUCGCUCUUGCCACACUCAUGUGAGCGUCUUGUUGGAUGACUUGGAGGGAUAGCGCUGCAAAAUGGCAUGCGGGACUCUGCCAUGUCGGGGCAGGGAAGACAAACAGACGGUGUGUUUGAGAAAAUUGGAUACACAUUUAAAGUUUAAAUGCUGAGUGACGUCCAUAGUUAACAUCUCAUGUGACUCCCAGCAGGAGAGUUCUGCUUCUGUGUUGGUUUGGGUGUAAUUUAGACGUCAGUACGUGUUGGGCUAAAUGAAGAGAGUUCCUGGAACGUGGUUCAUGGCUUUAUGUCUUUGUACAUGUGUGAAUUUUGGUCUUCAUGAAUUGGUGUCAUUCCAGAUGGAUACCCUCAGGACAGAAAAAAGAGAAAAUAUAUGUUUGAUUAUUUCUUAAUCUCAAACAUCUGGCCAAAGAUUUAUGACAGAAAUUGUGCACAAAUGAUUCUAUCCAAUCCUCAGUAG